rnacentral:tRNA from 11 species
GGAAGGGUGGCAGAGUGGUCGAUUGCAGCGGUCUUGAAAACCGCCGAUGCGCAAGCAUCCGUGGGUUCGAAUCCCACCCCUUCCGCCA